rnacentral:lncRNA from 1 species
CCUGUGGAAAUCUUCACAACAAACUCUUUCAAAUUAAAAUUUAUCUGUGAGCUUUAGACUCUUACAUCAAGUGGCAACUUCCCACCUCUUACCACUAUCAACUAAAUACUGAUAGGGCUGCUAGGUCUCCAGGUUUUAAUGGCAUAGGGGGUGUCAUACGUUCCCCUCGAGGGGAUUGACCAGUGGGAUUUGCAAAGCAUAUAGCUUUUGCUAAUAACAUCCAAAUGGAAUUACUUGUCUUACUCCAUAGAGUACGCAUAGCUUUACAACAUGGAUUUCUAUCAUUGGAGAUCAACCUAGAUACUAAGGAGGUAAUAACAUUGCUUCAAUCAGACAGCCCUCACUAUACUAAUUUACUCAAUGAUUGCAGGUUGCAGCUCAAGCAGCUAGAUGAUCCACUUAUACAACAUGUUUACAGGGAGACUAAUAUGGUAGCUGACGGAUUAGUAUCUUAUGGAAGCAACUAACAGGCAGUGAUGGCUUGCAACUUUUUGAUUCACCACCACGUUUUGUCCAACAUCUUUUACAUGCAUACAAAGAAGGGGCUAUACGCAGGAGACUUGUCAACCCUAGAAUUUUUGAAAAUAAUGUUACCCCUACUGUAAAUCCAUGCACAAGCAUGCUCCCCGUUCCCGUUUAUAGUAACAACUUAGCUAGUAGUUCUCUUAGUAGUUGUAUGGAUCCUUCCUUGGAUCCUAAUACUCAACUAGUUAUUAGACAAAGUAAUGAUCCUCGUAUGGAUCAUGGUAGUACUGUAGCUAAUAGUUUCCCGGCUGAUCCACCUAUGGAUCAUAGGCUUAUAGUGACUCCUCGUCCCCCAUCAGCUAACACUAGUGCCAAGAGCACAUGGCCCUCUUUAUCUCUUUAAUACUCUCUCCGUUUCAUAUUGUUUGAGUUAGUUUGACUCUACAUGCAGUUUAAGAAAGGAAAAGAAGACUUUUAAAACUUGUGGUCUUAA